UUCGCCCUUAGAGUUUGAUCCUGGCUCAGGACGAACGCUGGCGGCGUGCCUAACACAUGCAAGUCGAGCGAAUGAAAUUCCUUCGGGAACGGAUUUAGCGGCGGACGGGUGAGUAACACGUGGGCAACCUGCCUCAUAGAGGGGAAUAGCCUUCCGAAAGGGAGAUUAAUACCGCAUAAGAUUGUAGUACCGCAUGGUACAGCAGUUAAAGGAGCAAUCCGCUAUGAGAUGGGCCCGCGGCGCAUUAGCUAGUUGGUGAGGUAACGGCUCACCAAGGCGACGAUGCGUAGCCGACCUGAGAGGGUGAUCGGCCACAUUGGGACUGAGACACGGCCCAGACUCCUACGGGAGGCAGCAGUGGGGAAUAUUGCACAAUGGGGGAAACCCUGAUGCAGCAACGCCGCGUGGGUGAUGACGGCCUUCGGGUUGUAAAGCUCUGUCUUCAGGGACGAUAAUGACGGUACCUGAGGAGGAAGCCACGGCUAACUACGUGCCAGCAGCCGCGGUAAUACGUAGGUGGCGAGCGUUGUCCGGAUUUACUGGGCGUAAAGGGAGCGUAGGCGGAUUUUUAAGUGAGAUGUGAAAUACUCGGGCUUAACCUGAGUGCUGCAUUUCAAACUGGAAGUCUAGAGUGCAGGAGAGGAGAAGGGAAUUCCUAGUGUAGCGGUGAAAUGCGUAGAGAUUAGGAAGAACACCAGUGGCGAAGGCGCUUCUCUGGACUGUAACUGACGCUGAGGCUCGAAAGCGUGGGGAGCAAACAGAAGUAGAUACCCUGGUAGUCCUAGCCGUAAACGAUGGGGGUAAUAGGGGAAGGGGGAAAAAGUUACCUUAUGUGUCGCAAGCUAACGCAUUAAGUACCCCCGCCUGGGGAGGACGGUCGCAAGGGUGAAAUCAAAGGGAAUUGGCGGGGGGCCGCACAAAGCGGUGGAGCACAAGNUUUAAUUAGAAGCAAAGCGAAGAACCUUACCAGGGCUCGACAUAUGCCUGACGUUUUUUGGAAACAGUUAACUUCUCUUGAGACAGGUAGACAGGUGGUGCCUGAUUGUCGUCAGCUCGUGUCGUGAGAUGUUGGGGUAAGUCCCGCAACGAGCGCAACCCCUGUUCUUAGUUGCCAUCACGUCAAGGUGGGCACUCUAAGGAGACUGCCGGUGACAAACAGGAAGAGGGAGGGGAGGACGUCAAAUCCUCAUGCCCCUUAUGUUCUGGGCUACACACGUGCUACAAUGGCCUGUACAACGGGUUGCGAAGGGGUGACCUGGAGCAAAUCCUCUAAAACAGGUCUCAGUUCGGAUUGCAGGCUGCAACUCGCCUGCAUGAAGUCGGAAUCGCUAGUAAUCGUGGAUCAGCAUGCCG
rnacentral:rRNA from 1 species